rnacentral:misc_RNA from 1 species
GUCAUCAAAGAAUAAUAGAAUGCAAUUCCUAUCUCUAUGAGCUGCUAAUCAUUCACAAGAAAAAGAGAGUAUUGAGAACCCACUCCUCCAGCCACGACGAUCCUACAACUUCAAAUGCUGCAGCAAUAGCCACGUCAUCAAUGCAGGAAGAACGAAAACUUCAACGAAUUAGACCACUUCUUUCUCCCUGUCUUUCAUAUAGUGUUCUGUACUAAUCUGUACAACCCGAUUAUGUUAUCUCCCAGUGGCCUUUAUGGUCUCCGUUUUCAUUUCUCACAUCGAUCUACCCCACCACCUAUGGUUUUUAUCCGGCUGUCUGUUU